AUUCCGGUUGAUCCUGCCGGACCCGACUGCUAUUUGGGUGAGGAUAGCCAUGCAAGUCGAAUGGGAUACCUAAAUUUCCCAUGGCAAACUGCUCAGUAACACAUGAUCAACUUACCCUAUAGAGAAAAAUAACCUCGGGAAACUGAGGAUAAGGUUUCAUAGUUGAAUAGGCUUGGAAAAGUUAUUCAAUAAAAGGGAUAAAAAAAAUGGUUUUUAUCUGCUAUAGGAUAGGAUCGUGGACGAUUAUGGUUGUUGGUGAGGUAACGGCUCACCAAGCCGAUAAUCGAUAGGGGCCGUGAGAGCGGGAGCCCCGAGAUGGGUACUGAGACAACGACCCAGGCCUUACGAGGCGCAGCAGGCGCGGAACCUCCGCAAUACACGAAAGUGUGACGGGGUUACCCAAAGUGUUCAAUUUUGAACUGUGGUAGGUGAGUAAUGUUCCCUGCUAGAAAGGAGAGGGCAAGGCUGGUGCCAGCCGCCGCGGUAAAACCAGCUCUUCAAGUGGUCGGGAUAAUUAUUGGGCUUAAAGUGUCCGUAGCCGGUUUAGUAAGUUCCUGGUAAAAUCGGGUAGCUUAACUAUCUGUAUGCUAGGAAUACUGCUAUACUAGAGGGCGGGAGAAGUCUGAGGUACUACAGGGGUAGGGGUGAAAUCUUAUAAUCCUUGUAGGACCACCAGUGGCGAAGGCGUCAGACUGGAACGCGCCUGACGGUGAGGGACGAAAGCCAGGGGAGCGAACCGGAUUAGAUACCCGGGUAGUCCUGGCCGUAAACGAUGCAUACUAGGUGAUGGCACGGCCAUGAGCCAUGUCAGUGCCGUAGGGAAACCGUUAAGUGUGCCGCCUGGGAAGUACGGUCGCAAGGCUAAAACUUAAAGGAAUUGGCGGGGGAGCAC
rnacentral:rRNA from 1 species